UAGCCUAGUGGUUAAGGCUAUGGAUCGCCAAUCCGAGAACGGCGGGUUCGAUUCCCGU
rnacentral:tRNA from 1 species